rnacentral:snRNA from 1 species
GUGCUCGUUUCGGCAGCACAUUUACUAAAAUUGGAACGAUACAGAGAAGAUUAGCAUGGCCCCCUGUGCAAGGAUGACACGCAAAUUCGUGAAGCAUUCCAUAUUUUU